GGGGGCGAUCUGGUUUCGACGGGGGUGUGAACUCCGGGUCGCAUGCCGGGGCCCUCGGACCUCGAUAAAAACCGGGGAACCUGUACGUGCGAACGAGCCUAUGGCUCUGGCUGCCUAACUAGCAGUCACGUCCGCCCGUCCCCCUCCCGCGGGGACGGUCACGGGCGUCACCAAUGCGGGAUAGGCGCCCAAGUCGCCCGAGCGCGGCGCGCCGAAACUCACUCGGGAUCGCGGCGAAGAGAGCCUGCCCGCGGGCGCUCGGCGUCGCCAAAACAAACCACGGGAUAAGCAUGUAGGGAUGCCGGUCGGAUCACUUCCGGACGCGGGUUCGAUUCCCGCCGCCUCCAUUU
rnacentral:tmRNA from 1 species